AGGCCUGUAGCUCAAUUGGCUAGAGCACCGGUCUCCAAAACCGGUGGCUGGGGGUUCGAGUCCCUCCAGGCCUG
rnacentral:tRNA from 1 species